rnacentral:rRNA from 1 species
UUUAUUAAAUAUUUAUUAAAAAUUAAUAAAAUUCUUUUUAAUAAAAUUAUUUUAAAUAUUUGAUCCUUUCGUACUAAAAUAUUUUAAUUCUCUAAAGAUAGAAACCAACCUGGCUUACACCGGUUUGAACUCAGAUCAUGUAAGAUUUUAAUGAUCGAACAGAUCAAAAUUUUAAACUUUUGCAUUUAAAUUUUAUCUUAAUCCAACAUCGAGGUCGCAAACUUUUUUUCUUAUUUGAACUAAAAAAAAAAAUUACGCUGUUAUCCCUAAGGUAAUUUAAUCUUUUAAUCAUAAUUUAUGGAUCAUUUAUUCAUUAAUUAAUGGUAAUAUAUAUAUAUAUAUAUAUAUAUAUAUAUUAUAUAAAAAAAGUUAUAUUUUUUUUUCUAUCCCCCCAAAAAAAUAUAUAAAUUAAUUUUAAUUUAAAAUUUAUAUAAAAAUAUUUAAUUAAUUUAUAUAUAAAACUCUAUGGGGUCUUCUCGUCUUUUAAAAUUAUUUUAACUUUUUAAUAAAAAAAUUAAAUUCUAUAAAAAAAAAUAAGACAGCUUAUAUCUCAUCCAAUCUUUCAUACAAGUCACCAAUUAAGAGACUAAUGAUUAUGCUCCCUUUGUACAGACAAAAUACUGCAGCCCUUCAAUUUUCAUCAGGGGGCAGAUUAGACUUUAAAUUAUUUCAAAAAGACAUGUUUUUGAUAAACAAGUGAAUAUAAAUUUUUGCCGAAUUCCUUAUAAUUAAUUUUUCAUUUAAAAAUAUUUUAUAAUAUUAAUUAAAUAAAAUUUAUAUACUAAUUUUAUCAUUAUAACUAAAAUUAUUUUUUUAAAUUUUAUUUUUUUAUAAAAAAUUAAAUUAAAAUUAAAUUUUAUUUUUUAUGAAAUUAUUUAUAAAAAAUUAUAAUUUUUAAACAAUAUAAAUUUUAAAAUUUUCAAAAAAUUUAAUAUUUAAUUAUAAAUAUUUUAAAUUAAAGCUUAUCCCUUAAAAUAUUAAAUUUAAAUUUUAAAAAAUUUUUUAAUUAAUUUUUUAAUUAAUUUAAUUUAAAAUUAAAUUUUUUUCUAAAAAAACUAGAUAUAUUUAAAAACGAUUAACAUUUCAUUUCUAAUUAAUUAUGAAAAAUAUUUUUGCUACAAUAAAUUUUUUAAUUAAUUAACUCUUUUAAAUUCGAGAAUUUUUUUUUAAUAAAAAUUUUUAUUAAUAAACUCUGAUACACAAGAUACAAUAAAUAAAAUUUACUUUUAAUAUAAUUCAUUUUCAUAUAUUUCAAAUUUCUUUCACAAUACUAAUUUACUAUAAAUUAAAUAAUUUUUUCUUUAUAAAAUACUUUAACCCCCAUUAAUAAUAUUUUAUUAAAAUUAUUUUUAUUAAUUUAUUUUAUACUAAUUUUCCCCCAA